GACGAACGCUGGCGGCGUGCCUAACACAUGCAAGUCGAGCGAGAAUCUUAUGAAUGAUCCUUCGGGUGAAUGAUUAAGAGGAGAGCGGCGGACGGGUAAGUAACGCGUGAGUAAUCUGCCUUAAGGAGGGGGAUAACACAGAGAAAUCUGUGCUAAUACCGCAUAACAUAUCUUUACCGCAUGAUAGCGAUAUCAAAACCGAGGUGCCUUAAGAUGAGCUCGCGUCCGAUUAACUAGUUGGUGGGGUAAUGGCACACCAAGGUUACGAUCGGUAGCCGGACUGAGAGGUUGAACGGCCACAUUGGAACUGAGAUACGGUCCAGACUCCUACGGGAGGGAGGAGUGGGGGAUAUUGCGCAAUGGGGGAAACCCUGACGCAGCAACGCCGCGUGAAGGAAGAAGGUCUUCGGAUUGUAAACUUUUGUCUUUUGGGAAGAUAAUGACGGUACCAAAGGAGGAAGCCACGGCUAACUACGUGCCAGCAGCCGCAGUAAAAC
rnacentral:rRNA from 1 species